rnacentral:rRNA from 2 species
AGUCGAACGAACUCUGGUAUUGAUUGGUGCUUGCAUCAUGAUUUACAUUUGAGUGAGUGGCGAACUGGUGAGUAACACGUGGGAAACCUGCCCAGAAGCGGGGGAUAACACCUGGAAACAGAUGCUAAUACCGCAUAACAACUUGGACCGCAUGGUCCGAGCUUGAAAGAUGGCUUCGGCUAUCACUUUUGGAUGGUCCCGCGGCGUAUUAGCUAGAUGGUGGGGUAACGGCUCACCAUGGCAAUGAUACGUAGCCGACCUGAGAGGGUAAUCGGCCACAUUGGGACUGAGACACGGCCCAAACUCCUACGGGAGGCAGCAGUAGGGAAUCUUCCACAAUGGACGAAAGUCUGAUGGAGCAACGCCGCGUGAGUGAAGAAGGGUUUCGGCUCGUAAAACUCUGUUGUUAAAGAAGAACAUAUCUGAGAGUAACUGUUCAGGUAUUGACGGUAUUUAACCAGAAAGCCACGGCUAACUACGUGCCAGCAGCCGCGGUAAUACGUAGGUGGCAAGCGUUGUCCGGAUUUAUUGGGCGUAAAGCGAGCGCAGGCGGUUUUUUAAGUCUGAUGUGAAAGCCUUCGGCUCAACCGAAGAAGUGCAUCGGAAACUGGGAAACUUGAGUGCAGAAGAGGACAGUGGAACUCCAUGUGUAGCGGUGAAAUGCGUAGAUAUAUGGAAGAACACCAGUGGCGAAGGCGGCUGUCUGGUCUGUAACUGACGCUGAGGCUCGAAAGUAUGGGUAGCAAACAGGAUUAGAUACCCUGGUAGUCCAUACCGUAAACGAUGAAUGCUAAGUGUUGGAGGGUUUCCGCCCUUCAGUGCUGCAGCUAACGCAUUAAGCAUUCCGCCUGGGGAGUACGGCCGCAAGGCUGAAACUCAAAGGAAUUGACGGGGGCCCGCACAAGCGGUGGAGCAUGUGGUUUAAUUCGAAGCUACGCGAAGAACCUUACCAGGUCUUGACAUACUAUGCAAAUCUAAGAGAUUAGACGUUCCCUUCGGGGACAUGGAUACAGGUGGUGCAUGGUUGUCGUCAGCUCGUGUCGUGAGAUGUUGGGUUAAGUCCCGCAACGAGCGCAACCCUUAUUAUCAGUUGCCAGCAUUAAGUUGGGCACUCUGGUGAGACUGCCGGUGACAAACCGGAGGAAGGUGGGGAUGACGUCAAAUCAUCAUGCCCCUUAUGACCUGGGCUACACACGUGCUACAAUGGAUGGUACAACGAGUUGCGAACUCGCGAGAGUAAGCUAAUCUCUUAAAGCCAUUCUCAGUUCGGAUUGUAGGCUGCAACUCGCCUACAUGAAGUCGGAAUCGCUAGUAAUCGCGGAUCAGCAUGCCGCGGUGAAUACGUUCCCGGGCCUUGUACACACCGCCCGUCACACCAUGAGAGUUUGUAACACCCAAAGUCGGUGGGGUAACCUUUUAGGACCAGCCGCCUAAG